AACAGACGAGGAGCUUGCUCCUCUGACGUUAGCGGCGGACGGGUGAGUAACACGUGGAUAACCUACCUAUAAGACUGGGAUAACUUCGGGAAACCGGAGCUAAUACCGGAUAAUAUUUUGAACCGCAUGGUUCAAAAGUAAAAGACGGUCUUGCUGUCACUUAUAGAUGGAUCCGCGCUGCAUUAGCUAGUUGGUAAGGUAGCGGCUUACCAAGGCAACGAUGCAUAGCCGACCUGAGAGGGUGAUCGGCCACACUGGAACUGAGACACGGUCCAGACUCCUACGGGAGGCAGCAGUAGGGAAUCUUCCGCAAUGGGCGAAAGCCUGACGGAGCAACGCCGCGCGAGUGAUGAAGGUCUUCGGAUCGUAAAACUCUGUUAUUAGGGAAGAACAUAUGUGUAAGUAACUGUGCACAUCUUGACGGUACCUAAUCAGAAAGCCACGGCUAACUACGUGCCAGCAGCCGCGGUAAUACGUAGGUGGCAAGCGUUAUCCGGAAUUAUUGGGCGUAAAGCGCGCGUAGGCGGUUUUUUAAGUCUGAUGUGAAAGCCCACGGCUCAACCGUGGAGGGUCAUUGGAAACUGGAAAACUUGAGUGCAGAAGAGGAAAGUGGAAUUCCAUGUGUAGCGGUGAAAUGCGCAGAGAUAUGGAGGAACACCAGUGGCGAAGGCGACUUUCUGGUCUGUA
rnacentral:rRNA from 1 species